UACGUAGGGUGCAGGCGUUAAUCGGAAUUACUGGGCGUAAAGCGUGCGCAGGCGGUUAUGCAAGACAAAUGUGAAAUCCCCGGGCUCAACCUGGGAACUGCAUUUGUGACUGCAUGGCUAGAGUACGGUAGAGGGGGAUGGAAUUCCGCGUGUAGCAGUGAAAUGCGUAGAUAUGCGGAGGAACACCGAUGGCGAAGGCAAUCCCCUGGACCUGUACUGACGCUCAUGCACGAAAGCGUGGGGAGCAAACAGG
rnacentral:rRNA from 1 species